GCGGCCAUAGCUCAGUCGGUUAGAGCGCCAGGUUGUGGCCCUGGAGGUCGUGGGUUCGAGACCCACUGGUCGCCCA
rnacentral:tRNA from 1 species